rnacentral:rRNA from 1 species
UGGAGAGUUUGAUCCUGGCUCAGAUUGAACGCUGGCGGCAGGCUUAACACAUGCAAGUCGAGCGGUAACAGAUCUAGCUUGCUAGAUGCUGACGAGCGGCGGACGGGUGAGUAAUGCAUAGGAAACUGCCCAGUAGUGGGGGAUAGCCCGGGGAAACCCGGAUUAAUACCGCGUACGCCCUUCGGGGGAAAGCAGGGGAUCUUCGGACCUUGCGCUAUUGGAUGUGCCUAUGUCGGAUUAGCUAGUUGGUGGGGUAAAGGCCUACCAAGGCGACGAUCCGUAGCUGGUCUGAGAGGAUGAUCAGCCACAUCGGGACUGAGACACGGCCCGAACUCCUACGGGAGGCAGCAGUGGGGAAUAUUGGACAAUGGGGGCAACCCUGAUCCAGCCAUGCCGCGUGUGUGAAGAAGGCUUUCGGGUUGUAAAGCACUUUCAGURRGGAGGAAAACYYURUGRCUAAUACYCAURRGGCUUGACGUUACYUACAGAAGAAGCACCGGCUAACUCCGUGCCAGCAGCCGCGGUAAU